rnacentral:rRNA from 1 species
GUGGGGAAUAUUGGACAAUGGGCGAAAGCCUGAUCCAGCCAUGCCGCGUGUGUGAAGAAGGUCUUCGGAUUGUAAAGCACUUUAAGUUGGGAGGAAGGGCAGUAAGUUAAUACCUUGCUGUUUUGACGUUACCGACAGAAUAAGCACCGGCUAACUUCGUGCCAGCAGCCGCGGUAAUACGAAGGGUGCAAGCGUUAAUCGGAAUUACUGGGCGUAAAGCGCGCGUAGGUGGUUUUGUAAGUUGGAGGUGAAAUCCCCGGGCUCAACCUGGGAACUGCCUCGAAAACUGCAUGACUAGAGUACGGUAGAGGGUAGUGGAAUUUCCUGUGUAGCGGUGAAAUGCGUAGAUAUAGGAAGGAACACCAGUGGCGAAGGCGACUACCUGGACUGAUACUGACACUGAGGUGCGAAAGCGUGGGGAGCAAACAGGAUUAGAAACCCUAGUAGUCC